AGGUAAUAGUUCAGAGAUAUGCUUUGGAAAGACUACUUCAUCAGGUUAUAUGGAAAACUGGGAAACAUUUGGAGCUGUGCAGACAACUCAGAAAGUCAUCACAACAAUUGAGAAAUUUUACCCCCAAUAAAUGUCUUGCAUGCCUGAAUCCACAUUGUCAUCUUUUUCCUGGAGAACUGUAUCAAUGAUACCAGCAAUGGCCUAAGAAACCAGGUUGUAGAUUAGGAAUUUGAAGCACAAGAGAAGUUAAAUAAUUUUCCUGGCAUCCUAUAACUGAAAAGACUUCAAACCCAG